rnacentral:rRNA from 1 species
AUUGAACGCUGGCGGCAGGCCUAACACAUGCAAGUCGAGCGGAUGAAGGGAGCUUGCUCCUGGAUUCAGCGGCGGACGGGUGAGUAAUGCCUAGGAAUCUGCCUGGUAGUGGGGGAUAACGUCCGGAAACGGGCGCUAAUACCGCAUACGUCCUGAGGGAGAAAGUGGGGGAUCUUCGGACCUCACGCUAUCAGAUGAGCCUAGGUCGGAUUAGCUAGUUGGUGGGGUAAAGGCCUACCAAGGCGACGAUCCGUAACUGGUCUGAGAGGAUGAUCAGUCACACUGGGACUGAGACACGGUCCAGACUCCUACGGGAGGCAGCAGUGGGGAAUAUUGGACAAUGGGCGAAAGCCUGAUCCAGCCAUGCCGCGUGUGUGAAGAAGGUCUUCGGAUUGUAAAGCACUUUAAGUUGGGAGGAAGGGCAGUAAGUUAAUACCUUGCCGUUUUGACGUUACCAACAGAAUAAGCACCGGCUAACUUCGUG